CUUGUUUCUGGAAAAAAGCCAAUUUUAUCUAAUGGAAUAUAUUAAUGAAGUGUAAUGUAAAAGUAAUGCACAACUCUCGUGAACUCUGUAACAAAGUAACGAAAAACUCAUUUACACCACUUUGUCUGAAAUCUACCCGGAACAUUAUUUUUGAUGAACGCAUUGUAAUCAUUCUGUAAUUCCAUUAGCUUUAAGAUUCUUGAUCCAGAUCGAAAGGUCAGACUUAUUGGCAGUAAGAAAGUUCAGGCAAAGAGUAAAUAAAACAUGGGACAAUUAAACAUAAAAUAUUUUAUAAAUGAACUUUGCCCAACAGUUUAAAGAUAUACGGUGGAAAGAAUUACUGUCAAAACUGAACAUAAAUAUUUUUCUCUGGAAUCUGGAACCACGGACUGUUUUUUAAUGAUAAAACUCUGAUUGAUAAUUGUAUGUCAGUGAAUAGGAAGUAUCAUACACAGACAUAUCGUAGAGAACAUCGUAACACAAACAGGAAUUAAUUUUAAAGAAAAGAUUAGAUUAACGCAUUGAAAACACAUUCUGGACUUUGUGCUAGACCAGCAUUUGAUAAUGCGUAAGUGUAAAUGAAAUACAAUUUGUUCAUUGCUUAGCCAUAGAGAUGUUAUGCAUUAUAUGACAAUGCUUCUACAUCAUUUAAACACAUACUCAGUUUGUAGUUCAGGAAUAUCUGG